rnacentral:rRNA from 1 species
GUUUGAUCCUGGCUCAGGACGAACGCUGGCGGCGUGCUUAACACAUGCAAGUCGAACGGGCCCGCUCUCUUUUUUGGGGGUGGGUUGAGUGGCGAACGGGUGAGUAUCACGUGAGUAACCUGCCCCCUGCUCCUGGAUAACUGCUUGAAAGGGCGGCUAAUACGGGGUGUGCCGGCUGGUCCGCAUGGGCCUGGUCGGGAUAGUUUCAUCUUCGGGUGUUUCGGUGGGGGAUGGGCUCGCGGCCUAUCAGCUUGUUGGUGAGGUAAUGGCUCACCA